AGUUCUUAUAGUUGAAAUACAACGGUGAUUUUUCGUGUCACUAGUCGUGGGUAUAAAUCCAUGUAAGAAUA
rnacentral:tRNA from 1 species